UACCAGCACCCCGAGUGGUCGGGACGAUUAUUGGGCCUAAAGCAUCCGUAGCCGGUCCUGCAAGUCUUCCGUUAAAUCCAGCUGCUCAACAGAUGGGCUGCGGGGGAUACUACAGGGCUAGGAGGCGGGAGAGGCAAGCGGUACUUUAUGGGUAGGGGUAAAAUCCGUUGAUCCAUAGAAGACCACCAGUGGCGAAGGCGGCUUGCCAGAACGCGCUCUACGGUGAGGGAUGAAAGCUGGGGGAGCAAACCGG
rnacentral:rRNA from 1 species